rnacentral:misc_RNA from 1 species
AACUUAUCAACCACUUUCAUGUUCUGAAUGUGGCUUGGAUGUGGGGGGACUCUUUUGCAGGCCUUUACAGGUCAGCUCCCCUGAAAUGCAUUAGUGGCAUCUGAGCUGCUACUGUAGGUGUGAUAAACUAUCUAUGCCUUUGGUAUGCUGCAUGAACAGAUCGCGCUGCUCAAAACAAAAUACUUGACAA